rnacentral:rRNA from 1 species
GAUAAACGCUAGCGGCAGGCCUAACACAUGCAAGUCGAGGGGCAUCGCGGGUGGCAACACCUGGCGGCGACCGGCGGACGGGUGCGCAACGCGUGAGCAACCAACCUUAUGCUGGGGGAUAACCCGGAGAAAUUCGGACUAAGACCGCAUGUUUUUGCGGGGGGGCAUCCCUCCGUGAGCAAAUAUUUAUAGGCAUAAGACGGGCUCGCGUCCCAUUAGGAAGUUGGCGGGGUAACGGCCCACCAAUCCUGUGAUGGGUAGGGGUUCUGAGAGGAUUCACCCCCACAUCGGCACUGAGACACGGGCCGAACUCCUACGGGAGGCAGCAGUGAGGAAUAUUGGACAAUGGGCGGAAGCCUGAUCCAGCCAUGCCGCGUGCAGGAAGACGGCCCUACGGGUUGUAAACUGCUUUUUUCACGGAGCAAUGUCGUCCACGUGUUGGGCGUUUGAGAGUACGUGGGGAAUAAGCACCGGCUAACUCCGUGCCAGCAGCCGCGGUAAUACGGAGGGUGCGAGCGUUAUCCGGAUUUAUUGGGUUUAAAGGGUGCGUAGGCGGGUUGGUAAGUCGGCGGUGAAAUUUACGCGCUUAACGCGUGCAGUGCCGUUGAUACUGUCGACCUAGAGUACGAGCGAGGCUGGCGGAAUGCGCGGUGUAGCGGUGAAAUGCAUAGAUAUCGCGCAGAACUCCGAUUGCGAAGGCAGCUGGCCAGCUCGCCACUGACGCUGAGGCACGACAGCGUGGGGAUCAAACAGGAUUAGAUACCCUGGUAGUCCACGCCGUAAACGAUGAGCGCUCGCUGCCUGGCGGGAGACCGCAGGGUGGCCAAGCGAAAGCGUUAAGCGCUCCACCUGGGGAGUACGGCCGCAAGGCUGAAACUCAAAGGAAUUGACGGGGGCCCGCACAAGCGGAGGAACAUGUGGUUUAAUUCGAUGAUACGCGAGGAACCUUACCCGGGCUUGAAAGUUAGUGACGGACAUGGAAACAUGUCUUCCCUUCGGGGCACGAAACUAGGUGCUGCAUGGUUGUCGUCAGCUCGUGCCGUGAGGUGUCGGAUUAAGUUCCAUAACGAGCGCAACCCUUGCCGUUAGUUGCCAUCAAGUGAUGUUGGGCACUCUAACGGGACUGCCGGUGUAAGCCGAGAGGAAGGUGGGGAUGACGUCAAAUCAGCACGGCCCUUACGUCCGGGGCGACACACGUGUUACAAUGGUCGGUACAGGGGGCAGCUACCCAGCGAUGGGAUGCGAAUCUCGAAAGCCGAUCUCAGUUCGGAUCGGAGGCUGAAACUCGCCUCCGUGAAGUUGGAUUCGCUAGUAAUCGCGCAUCAGCCAUGGCGCGGUGAAUACGUUCCCGGGCCUUGUACACACCGCCCGUCAAGCCAUGGAAGCCGGGGGUGCCUGAAGUACGCGACCGCAAGGAGCGUCCUAGGGCAAAACUGGUGACUGGGGCU